rnacentral:rRNA from 1 species
UACGUAGGGUGCGAGCGUUGUCCGGAAUUAUUGGGCGUAAAGGGCGCGUAGGCGGCUUGGCAAGUGGAAGGUGAAAUCCCUCGGCUUAACCGAGGAACUGCCCUCCAAACUGCUUCACUUGAGACCGGGAGAGGUGAGUGGAAUUCCCAGUGUAGCGGUGAAAUGCGUAGAUAUUGGGAGGAACACCAGUGGCGAAGGCGGCUCACUGGACCGGUACUGACGCUGAUGCGCGAAAGCGUGGGGAGCAAACGGG